UUUUCAGGAUAAGUAUGUCCUAUGGAUAUUUGGGAUAUACUUAUACUAAAA
rnacentral:pre_miRNA from 1 species